rfam:Methylacidiphilum fumariolicum SolV, WGS project CAHT01000000 data, contig: 90-2114
GCCGGUGUGGCGGAAUGGCAGACGCGCCAGACUCAAAAUCUGGUCCGGGCAACCGGGUGUGGGUUCGACUCCCUCCACCGGCA